rnacentral:misc_RNA from 1 species
AGUGGAUCCACAUAAUUGUGAGUCGGGUACACCUAAUAAUUCCUCAUCCACCCACCUGAAUGUUUUUUUUUUCCUAAAAAUAUUGAAACUCUUGGCACACCUUCUGCGCUCACAGAGAGAAAGAUGGAAACUAAAUCUGUUGGCCUAUAUUCAACCUGCAGUCCAAGCCUGCAGCUUCUCGUACCUCUUCUUCUUACAUCUCUUCUAUUCGUACCAAACGUCCAAAACUCCUCAGCAGCAGCCAUCACCACCACCAAAACUUCUAAAACCACAUACACUAUGUACCUAAAAACAGCUUGCAAUACCACCAUAUGCCCAAAACUCUGCUACAGCUCUCUGUCUCCCUACACCUCUACUAUCAAAACCAAUGACCUCAGGCUCUGUAAAGCCGCAUUGACCCUGAAAGUUGCCAAAAAAACGUCUGCGCUGAUCAAAACUCCGUCAAGGCAGAAGGGAUUGAGCAAGCCUGAAGUUGGCGUUGUUCAAGAUUGCCAGGAUGAAAUCGGAGACAGCAUUGACGAGCUCAAGCAAGCAUUGCAGGCUUUAGGCAGUCUAAAGGGUACUAAUAAGAAUGUGGAAUUUCAGAUUGCUGACAUAAAAACCUGGGUUAGUGCAGCAAUUACCGAUGAAAGUGGCUGCACGGAUGGAUUUGAUGGCCUGAAAGUAAGCACUACGUUGAAGAACAAGAUCAGGAAUAUUAUAUCCAAAUUUAAUGGGCUCACUAGCAAUGCUCUGGCACUCAUUAACAAACUCGAUCAGUGACUUGUUCUAUGUAUUCUUCUUUUUUAUUCUUAGUUUUGAUCCUUUCGUAUGUAUCAAUCAUAUACGCAGGCCAGAUUCAAUCUUCAAAAUCCGAUUUCGCUUAGAAAGUUUAGAAAAAGAAAAUGAAGUUAAUUGAUAGUCAUAAAAUUAAUCUGAUAUGUAGUAAAUAAUUAUUUAAAUUAAAUAAAUACUUGAAUUUGAG